CGGGGCGUAGCUUAGCCCGGUAGAGCGCCUGCUUCGGGAGCAGGAGGUCGCAGGUUCAAAUCCUGUCGCCCCGAC
rnacentral:tRNA from 1 species